ensembl:snoRNA U3 Small nucleolar RNA U3
AAGGCUAUACUUUCAGGAAUUAUUUCUGUAGUUCAUUACUAGAGAAGUUUCUCUGAUCAUGUAGAGUAUCAACAAUAU